rnacentral:misc_RNA from 1 species
AAGUCGUAACAAGGUUUCCGUAGGUGAACCUGCGGAAGGAUCAUUACAAAUGGUUUAUACCACACACUACUUGUGCAUUACGUUGCUGGUUGCCUCUCUGCAAAGGAAGGCAGCCGAUAUUAAUUUACACUUUUGAUUACCAGUCUUGAAUCUUUGAUUACAGCUUCCAAGCCUUUACGGGCAUGGGAGUGCUGGGUCAACUAAGGGUUAAAAACUUUUAGCAACGGAUCUCUAGGCUCUC